UACGUAGGGUGCAAGCGUUGUCCGGAAUUAUUGGGCGUAAAGAGCUCGUAGGCGGUCUGUCGCGUCGGAUGUGAAAAUCCAGGGCUCAACCCUGGACCUGCAUUCGAUACGGGCAGACUAGAGUUCGGCAGGGGAGACUGGAAUUCCUGGUGUAGCGGUGAAAUGCGCAGAUAUCAGGAGGAACACCGGUGGCGAAGGCGGGUCUCUGGGCCGAUACUGACGCUGAGGAGCGAAAGUGUGGGGAGCGAACAGG
rnacentral:rRNA from 1 species